UGCGUAGGCGGAAAAUUAAGUCAGUGAUGAAAUCCUGCAGCUCAACUGUAGAACUGUCAUUGAUACUGAUUUUCUUGAAUUUAGUUGAGGUAGGCGGAAUGUGUAAUGUAGCGGUGAAAUGCUUAGAUAUUACACAGAACACCGAUUGCGAAGGCAGCUUACUAAGCUAUGAUUGACGCUGAGGUACGAAAGCGUGGGGAGCGAACAGGAUUAGAUACCCUGGUAGUCC
rnacentral:rRNA from 1 species